ACAGUCACUGAGGGAAACCUGACACUGUAUUAAUAAGUAACCUUUCCUGGGAGCAGUCAUCACCCCAGUCCUGCAGCCUUGGCAAGUUUUUGCAAGGAAUGGACCCAAGUUCUAAUGCUUAACCUAAAUUUCUGUCAGCUUUUGUCAGAAAGAUACUGGACAGUAAAUGGUACAACAGACUUCAAAAAUUGCACAAAUAAUAACAGGCCCCGACCAAACCCAACCAGCCCCAUCACUGCUCCACCCCAAUGUUGGGAGAAGUAGUGAUGGAGUUUAUAAAUACUCUCCUUCCCUGCUAUUCAGUCCUUUGCUCACAUCCCCAGAGAGGAUUUACUGCACCUUUGCUCCUGACAGCACCUCUCUCUCCAGCACAAAUCCCACUGGCCACAGACACAGAUGGAGCAGACCUAAGGCAAUGGUUCUGGCAGCAGCUGCAAUUCCCUGUUCCCUGCAAUGCUCAUCCAGCACUCGUGGCCAUCUCACCUCAGCCCAGACUCUGUCCUCAGAGGGAGAUGCAGCCUGGGAUGUGGCCAGUGAAGGAGGGGAGUUCUUUAGAGGAACUGACCACAAAAAACAAACCCAGCAGACACUGAAAUGA
rnacentral:lncRNA from 12 species